GCGGCCUAUACAUGCAAGUCGAGGGGUAACAGGAAGUGCUUGCACUUCGCUGACGACCGGCGCACGGGUGAGUACCGCGUAUACAAUCUGCCUCAUACUAGGGAAUAGCCCGAAGAAAUUUGGAUUAAUGCCCUAUAGUAUCUUUUUAAGGCAUCUUAUUAAGAUUAAAGGUUACGGUAUGAGAUGAGUAUGCGUUCUAUUAGCUAGUAGGUGUGGUAACGGCACACCUAGGCUACGAUAGAUAGGGGCCCUGAGAGGGGGAUCCCCCACACUGGUACUGAGACACGGACCAGACUCCUACGGGAGGCAGCAGUAAGGAAUAUUGGACAAUGGGCGAAAGCCUGAUCCAGCCAUGCCGCGUGCAGGAUGACGGCCCUAUGGGUUGUAAACUGCUUUUAUAUAGGAAGAAAAACUUUCUCGUGAGAAAGCUUGACGGUACUAUAAGAAUAAGGAUCGGCUAACUCCGUGCCAGCAGCCGCGGUAAUACGGAGGAUCCAAGCGUUAUCCGGAAUCAUUGGGUUUAAAGGGUCCGUAGGUGGACAAAUAAGUCAGAGGUGAAAUCCUGCAGCUCAACUGUAGAACUGCCUUUGAUACUGUUUGUCUUGAGUUAUUAUGAAGUGGUUAGAAUGUGUAGUGUAGCGGCGAAAUGCAUAGAUAUUACACAGAAUACCGAUUGCGAAGGCAGAUCACUAAUAAUUAACUGACACUGAGGGACGAAAGCGUGGGUAGCGAACAGGAUUAGAUACUCUGGUAGUCCACGCCGUAAACGAUGGUCACUAGCUGUUUGGACUUCCGUCUGAGUGGCUAAGCGAAAG
rnacentral:rRNA from 1 species